CUUGAAUACGGUGAAUCAUUCACCAUGUUUAAAUACAAUGAAUAGUUCACCAUGUUUUCCCUUCUACCCUUUCUAUUAUUAUAUGGUGGGGUUCCCUACGAGACCUCCAAGGUUGUGGAAGGAACCACCGCGGAGAGAGACUCAUAAGUCGUUAGUGGUUGCGGUUGUUUGUGGUGGCCGUGGUUGUGGCGGUGGGAAGAGGUGGUAGAGGAGGUAGAGUUGGAGUGCAUAGGGUGCAGCGAUGGUGAAGGAGUAGGAUGCGGUAGCGGUGGUGGAGGAGGCAUAUAGGAGGAGGAGGAGAAGGGAUGCGGCGGAUGAUGAUGACAACAGAGAGAGAGAGAGAGAGAGAGAGAGAGAGAGAGAGAGAGAGAGAGAGAGAGGAAAGUUUGGGGAGAGAGAGGGAGAGAGAUCGUGCAGAGGAAAGUACACAUAACGUUUGAAAUGCAGAACCAUUCAUUAUGUUUGAAUACGGUAAAUGGUUCAUCGCAUUCAACUUAAAUUCCACUUCUAAUAUAACGCUUGUGUGACGCUCACAUGGAAGAGAUAGGGUCAAUUUUGUAAAUAUAAAUUUUAUGGGGCUAUUUGUAAAAAAAAAUAUUUGUCAAGGGGCUAAAUGCAAAAAAAAAGCUCAUGUAUAAAUGAUAUAAUAUUUUUUAGAUUAUAAUAAUUAGGUUAAUUUCAUACAUGUCCUUAUAAAGUAUCAAAUAGCAGAUAAAUUCCUACAAAACUUAAGUGAUCGAUUUUAUUUUUCAAAAAUUCUCUUGUUUGCAAAUAUAUCCCUCUAAAAGUUCUAUUUCAUUCAUACAUAUUCCUGCUGUUUGAUUCAUUGUUAGUUUUUUAACAGUAGGUGCGUAAAAUAAUUAUUUUGCCUUUAUAAAUUUGUCUCUACAAAAAGUUGUCUUUCUUUUUCUCUCUCUCUUCUUGCCUUCAUCGCAACACGUGCGGUGUACCUCAUUUUUGUCGUGGCCGAAGACCUUGCCUUCGAUGUCGUCGCCACCGUAGGUCUUGUCGUUGCCAUGAAUAAAAAAGAGAAGGUAAGUUUCGGAGCGUAACAUCAACAUUGGAAUACAAAUUGUAUAUAAAAAAGGUGCAAAGGUUAUUUUAUUCCUUAGCUAACUGUAGUUAAUUAGUUUUUUUAACACAUGGUUAUCUAAAUUUUGGUAAUAGAAGGAUAUAUUUGCAGACAAAAGGACUUUUGAGUGAAUAAAUCUAAUAACUUAAAUUUAUAGGGACGUAUUUACUAUUU
rnacentral:lncRNA from 1 species